CAGAUGAUGUUUGCUUAUACAGAGAUUUUAACAUCUUUCCCACUAGUUGCAACUGACUUUAUCUUGGCAUGCAGGAUGUCUACCCACAAGCUAGGAAGCUAUUCCUCAGCAAAGUACUCCAAUAUAUAAAGGAAAGGCUUCUGGAUGCGAAGUAUGCAUGUGGCUUCUUAUUCAACAUAACUGGAUCCCAUCCACUUGAGUUUAUAGAGGACAAGCAUAACCUAAUGGAAGUUGUUCAAAUGUGUCACUGACUAAAGGCACUCCAACUUUCUAUGCAACGUGAUGUGAACUCGUCCUCCACUUAUCUAGAAAAUAUUCUCACAUAUUUGCUCCUUGCACUUUCACAUCAUCCUUCAUGUCCUAAUGUUGAUGAAUGCAAGGAGGUUCAAGCAUUUGAAUCAAUUUACUGAUGUGAAGGUGGGCAAUCAGGAGUUUCCCAAAAAGGGAAAAGGAAAGUCUUUCUACAAUACUAUCUUCCAAAAUAUAAUGGGAAAGGUACUGAUGGUAUGUU